GGUGCAAGCUCCAAUUCCCCCCUCCCCCCGUCUAUAAGAUCCCUGGCAAUAUGCACUUCUUAUUUUGGACCAGGCAACACUGAUGUGUACACAGAAUACCUCAGAACCGGAGAGCACAAAUGCAGUCUCAGCCCAGGAUUCUCCUACACUGAUGGUUAUGUAGGCAUAUUCUUGAUAUGUAGCUAGCUUCAACAGUAGAGCUCUUGGUGGGAAGAUUCACCAAGAUCAGGUGCAAAUAACCUUGUUACCAAUAAACAACAAACUAGUACAAAGCAUCCAAAACUCCUCAGACCUAUGGUUAUAAAACAAUAUUCUUAGUAUAUGUAAUGCCUUUACUAUGGGACAGUACCACACAGGUGCAUUUCUUAUUUCAGUAGAAUAGCUCAGAUAAAUCCCAGUCAGGUUAACCUCUAAUAUUGUUAUAUGCCUUUUACUCUCUUCCUUGCCAUGUAAAUAAAGCUGAUGGGGUACCCCUUCUCACUGCACACACAAUUCCCAGUGACUACUACUAACAUGCCCUCACCCCAGUUGCUGGAUAUCUAUCCACCUUCUUAUCUGGAUUCACUCUCCUCCCUGUUUUAUGUCCUGGAGGUCUGGCCUGUAUGAACUACAUCAAAGGACUCCUUUGUCCUUUGGGAACCAGUGGUGGAUAAUGUGGUCAGGAAAUUUUCCUCCUAGUUUGUUUCCUGCACUGUCAUCAGAUGCUGAGUCUCCUCUCGAAAGGUUCCUGCAAGGUGGCCCUCUCAACAUAGGCUCUAUGUCUCCAGAGUUUAGCAAAUCCUCUCUCUUCCUUUGUCCCCCAGGCCUAGGGCUGAUAAUCUUACCUUUACUAGCCAUGGAGUAUUGUACUGUCCCUGUGGUUCUCAAAUACUCUUCUCACACCAUUGUAUAUUGUAUUUUUUUUAAAUCUCCUUUCACAUUUUCUUUCUUUUUUUAAAUGUUUAUUUAUUUUGAGAGACAGAGUGUGAGCGGGGGAGAGGCAGAGAGGAAGACACAGAAUCAGAAGCAGGCUCCAGGCUCUGAGAUGUCACCACAAAGCCUCUCACAGGGCGCAAACUCAGGAACAGUAAGAUCAUGACCUAAGCUGAAGUCAGUCAUUCAACCUACUGAGUCACCCAGGCACUCCACCUUUCACAUUUUCUAAUGUGAACGUGCCCCCUGUUUCUGUCAUGCUCUUCUCAGAUACAGUAGAUACCAAAAGUUACUCCAGGAAUUGGGUGUCUCAUUUGAGGAGUGAAAAAUAACCUUCUUACAAUGGGGGUCAGGAGAGUGGGGAGCAGGUGUUAGGAGAGGUUCACUGGUAAUGGCAUGUAGUAGUAUCACACUUAAUCAAAUUAACACCACUCAUGGCAUGGAAUAAAGUACAGAAAUCCAAAGUUUUGGGAAAUCAAGUAGAUGCGUCAUUUAAACACUGUGUUGAAAAUAAUUAUCCAAAAGGUUGUGAAGUCACCUACAUUCACCUGAUGGUCCUAAAGAGUAUGCAUAGGAAAAAGAAGAAAUUGAAAGCUAUGAAAAUACAAUAGAAAACACAUCUAGAUCACUAGAAAGCCUGCAUGACAUGUUUGGAGGAGUCCCUCAUGUUAUGAUAGAUAAAGCUGAGGACCAAGCCCAGGUACUCAGUGUUGCAGAGUUCCACUGCCAAUUAAAUAUUGUACUUGCUAUGGCUUUUACAAUAGGGUAAGGGCACAUGUACAGAAGGAAUAGAACCUUGAUGUAUCAGAUAGAGACUUUGUGUAGACAUGCUCUGAAACAUUAAGAAAUGCAGUGGUCAGAGGGUCAGCAAGCAUUUUUGAAAAUUUCUGUGUGUCUGUGCUCUGUAGGCUGGAGACAAUGAUGGAGAAUGCUGCAGUGGAAUUGGCUACUUGAUCUUAAUGUGAAUUGAAGGGAUCCUAGAGUGGUGGAGGUCAGGUGACAGUGCUUAAUCGUAUAAGACAAGGUGAGUACAAUAACCUCAGUAAGCCACAAGAAUGAAAUGCUAAUUAGAGGAUGUUUGACCCACAGGGAUCUGUGGUGAUGGCUAACCAGAGCAUUCCAAAAAGUGAAAUAAUUGGGCAGUCUAUAGGAUGUUGCUCAACAUAUUCAGGCAGAAAAAAAUUCUAGGUCUGCUGGAAAGUCUAAUUUGAGUUGCUAUAGUGAGGUUUCUCAACUUCUUACCCAACUAAAUGGAAGAGAGGGUACAUUUAAGUUAGGACCUUGAAGCCACUGGUGUAUACUAUAAAUCUUCCAUCAAACCUUUCCCAAUGGAACCUGCAGAUAUUUUUUUUAGGGUAACUGUGUACUAGGGAAAAGGAAAUAUCAAGACCUUCUGGGAGUUAUUGGCUAAAGACUCUGAACUGGUGCUAACCUCUGUCACACUAAGGAACAGAUAGACAACAAGAUAAAUAAUGUAGAAAAGGCUUUAAGAGACUAAUGGGACAUAGUGGGG